CACGGGGGGGAGCAAGCGUUGUUCGGAAUCACUGGGCGUAAAGGGCGUCUAGGCGGUCAAGUAAGUGGGAUGUGAAAUGCCCCGGCUCACCCGGGGACCGGCAUCCCAUACUGUUUGGCUUGAGUACGGGAGAGGAUGUGGGAAUUCCUGGUGUAGCGGUGAAAUGCGUAGAUAUCAGGAGGAACACCGGUGGCGAAGGCGGCA
rnacentral:rRNA from 1 species